UAGAGGAGGAGAAGGCCGUGAUUGGGUGGCUUUGGCCAGACUCUGCGGGAGUAUUGAGUUCUCUAAGUCUUGCGGAACGUGGGUGACUGCGCUGUGCCGGGAGAGCGUGCAGGUUAGGCGUUCACCGUUACCGAGCAGGAGGUCUCAAGAUGUUUCCUCCUCCAGGAAGCCCCCUUGAUCCCCCAGGGUGGGUCAGGUAUCCGUUUUGGGCUUCUGCUCUCUGGGUUUCCCCCAUCCCAGCCCUGACCAUCUGUGAUGUCAGCGUCUAAACGUCUGUCUCCCGGAGAUUGGAGACAGGAUGGCGGAGUAGAAGGACUUGAGCUCACGAAAACAUCAAAUCACAACUAACUGCUGAACAACCAUGAACAAAAAAAGACUGGAACCUACCAGCAAAGAUAUUCUACGUCCAAAGACAAAGAAGAAGCCACAAGGAGACAGUAGGAGGGACACUUUCACGAUAUAAAUGUCUGUCUCCCUCUUUAGAAAGAUAAAUCCAUGAGGAUGGGGACAAAGUCUCUUCUGGUCACCACUUUUAUCUCCAGAACCUGGCACAGAGUCAGUAAUAUCUGUUAACUGAAUUAAGAAACGACAAGACGUGGGUCGUGCGCACUUGUAACUCUUGAACUGGACCAUGAAGCCCGCUUUCGAGGUCUUGUUUAAUGUGCCCUGACAUCAGCGCAGCAUUCUGAACUGCUUUAACUUUUACUGGGUGUACAGUAGACAUGUUGUGAAUCUCAUCAGCACAUGCACCAGGCGAGAUGUCCAAGAAAGUACGUAAUAGCACUGACAGCAAAACAUCGGAAACAAACCUGAUGUCCACCAAAAGGAGAAUGGAUGAAUUGUAUCUUCACACAGUGGAACAUUAUGCAGCAAUGAAAAGGAAGGAACUACAGGUGCGCAAGAAAAAUAAUGUGUGAAAGGAGCAAAAUUCAGAAGAUUUCAUAUAGGAUGAUACUAUUUUAUAAAGCUCAAAACCAAGCACACAGAAACAUUGUUUAGGCAUUUGAAAAUAUGUGAUAAAACUGUAUCUUAAAAUAGCAAGGGGGAGAGGGAAUCUUUUGGGAUUGGUUGUACUGUGCAGUUAAAAUGGGUAUAUUUUAUUGUGCAUAAAUUAUACCUCAGUAAAGCUGAGUUAAAAAGGAGAGUGGGCAGAACAGACUCCCUGUUGUGCCUCUGGAUAUACUGUGUAAGGAGGUGAUGCUGGGGGCAUAUGCCACCAUAUGGUGACUCACCUACCUGUCAUGCUGAGGAGGUCAGGCAGAAGAAAGGACCUGAGCCACUUAAUCACUGAGCCAGGUAAGGGACUUUGCUUUCUGUGCUAUGUCUCCAGUUCCAGUUCCAUGCCUGCUGAUUAUUUGGAGCUCAAUAAAUAUAGGUACUUUUAAGUAAAAUUCUUUUGGAAGUAAAAUACAAUUUUCUUAACUGUUUGAAUUUAACAACCCCAAAACACCCUGCCUCUGGAGUGCUUGCUGUGUGAAGUAACGCAUUUCCUUCUGAUUCAGGCCCUUUUGACUUGGAUCCUCUUAUCUGUAGCCAAACACAUCCUAACUGGUGACCGCGUGGGGAUACCUACUGCGUGUCAGGCCGUAUGUGAGGCCCUUACCUGCAUGAUUUCUUUGAAUCUUCACAACACCCCUGUGAGGUGUUGUGGGCCCUCAAAGAGACUACAG